AAUCCUUCUAACCUUCCAUCUCUCAUCGUGUGUUGAAGCUGGGGGAGAGAAAGCUUUCUUGAAACUUGCCAGGUAAAAGGGGAGCAUCCUGGCUCGGGUGGGGAAAGAGAUAGCCAUAAAUUACUGAACUUGCAUACAGGUUUUGAUUUACUUUAUCUUGGCCAAGACAAGUAACAGUUGUGGACUGCAGGUGUCCUAGGAAACUGGCCAAGUGUUGGCCAUCCUGUGUACCCGGAAAGGAGUGCUGUAAGCACUUCAUGUCUUAAGUGCCUGCUCACAUGUGCAUUUGGGAAACAUUUGUGUGCUCUUUUACAUUGUCAAAUCUAAAUGUAUAAACCCAAGAUAAAACCUCAAAUGUAAAGGUUUUAAAUGUUCUAAAUUGAGGUACCUUAAUGUAGACCAGCAAAUCAGUGAUUUUGA